GACGAACGCUGGCGGCGUGCUUAACACAUGCAAGUCGAACGGAAAGGCCCUGCUUUUGUGGGGUGCUCGAGUGGCGAACGGGUGAGUAGCACGUGAGUAACCUGCCCUUGACUUUGGGAUAACUUCAGGAAACUGGGGCUAAUACCGGAUAGGAGCUCCUGCUGCAUGGUGGGGGUUGGAAAGUUUCGGCGGUUGGGGAUGGACUCGCGGCUUAUCAGCUUGUUGGUGGGGUGGUGGCUUACCAAGGCUUUGACGGGUAGACGGUCUGAGAGGGGGACCGGGCACACUGGCAGUGAGACACGGUCGAGACUGAUGCGGGAGGCAGGAGGAGGGAAUGGUCGGCAAUGGGCGAGAGGGUGACGGAGCGACGCCGGGUGAGUGAUGACGGUCUUCGGAUCGUAAAACGGGGUUAGUAGGGAAGAACAAAUGUGUAAGGAACUAUGCACGUCUUGAAGGGACCAAAUCAGAAAGCCACGGCGAACGACGUG
rnacentral:rRNA from 1 species